UACGGAGGAUGCGAGCGUUAUCCGGAUUUAUUGGGUUUAAAGGGUGCGUAGGCGGAAAGUUAAGUCAGCGGUGAAACGCAGGUGCUCAACACCUGACCUGCCGUUGAGACUGGUUUUCUGGAAUGCGGAUGCUGUGGGAGGAAUGUGUGGUGUAGCGGUGAAAUGCAUAGAUAUCACACAGAACACCGAUUGCGAAGGCAUCUCACAAAUCCGCUAUUGACGCUGAGGCACGAAGGUGCGGGGAUCGAAC
rnacentral:rRNA from 1 species